ACCGCGCCGCGCCGGCUACAUACAUCCCACGACGGCCGCCCCGCUGGAGCAGUCAGACACCGACAGCCGCCGAGAGGACAGCCGCAGGACGCACCGGCACUACCAGCGACGUCUCUCGCCAUGGACGCGUCUUCUCCGCUCAGAACGCUGACACUCAUGUUGGCGAUCUUGCUGCUUGUCGUGUUACUGUCGUUUGCAUCCGAUGCUGAAGCGUACAUGGAAGUGGCAGCUACUAGGAUUAGGGACCGUCUGAAAGUGCACGUCGGUUUUCCGUCGAGGUAGUUGGAGGCGUGGAUCACCAACCAUGAAACCUCUCACCAACCACCAGCCAACCACUGACGCCAGAGAUCUGUCCACUGUCCAGUACAGACAACAGUGAAUCAGCUGACGCUUCAGACACAUUAUCCAAUGAACUGGACUUCAUUGCAUGUUGUACAACAUGUCAGAAAAAUAUUUAAGUUCCUGAGUUUUCUUCAGAGCCUGAAAUACUGGACGAACCAUUGAUUUCAGGUGUUGCCUCGAUGGAUUUUGUCACCGAUGUUUCACUGUGUGUUAGUAAUAGGGCUGCUUUCAGUGUGAAAAUUUAGCAUUUCAUUUCCUGUUAACUAACAGAAAACUCGAAAAGAAGCGCUAAGUUAAUGUGACUUACAGUUCCUCAAUGGCAAAUGGCCAGUAGUGUCAAAUAAUCAUGUGAUUAGGUCAAGGUUCACAGUCACAAAAGAAAUCUGAUCUCAUCGCGUAUCCUCAUCGGUGUCUUGCUCACAGUAUAAGUUUACUAAGUGAUCAAGUAACUGUGAAUAUUAAUUAUCCUGUAGAGAAUGGGAUGGUACAAGCUGAAGAUUACGGAUCUAUACUUGUCCACUAUAAUCUCAAAUACUGAAAAAAUAUGACACUAUGAAUACAAGGAUCAUGAGAUGGAAAUGUGAAUGGCUGUCAACAUAGAGAAAAUAACAUAUUUCAUGAAUUAAUUAAUUAUCUUAGUGUUUAGCUGUAGAAUAUUACAUUCCUUUACAAAAAGAAGAAAGUACUAUUAUCUAGAAACCUCCAUCGCGGAGUAAAACCUCCUAUCUCCAAAUACAGAAACAAUGAUUCCAGUUAGUUAGCGGAUGCCUUUUUCCUAUCAGUUCCAGCAAGAAUAAGAGUUCUUUGGGAAUGAUACCUACUGUCCAUCGCUUCAAGCUUCUCUAGCUGCACCAAGAAUAUUUACCCGCAUGUCGCACCUUAUGCUAUGGAAUGGCAACAAUUCCGUUUCCUGAUUUCAAGUGUUAUUUCUCAGUAAUUAACGACAGACAUUGGUAUUAAAGCUCCGAAAUAAGCUUUCAAAUAAAACGAGUGGUGCAACAGUGGAAAGAAGAUUGGAGGAAAUUGUGAGACUGCACGAAUAUUAAGUGAUACUAAUGUAUCAGAAUGACUGUAUUUUAUGUUCUGCUGUUAUAUUUCUCCACACACGUUAGCUCUUUCACACUUUUAUCAUCAUUACAAAUUUCAGUAUGUGUUUUACAAAUGAAUCAAGUUUUUCAGUUUGAGUGAAGUACUUUACAAUUGAUAGUAGCGUACGAGUGACUGAUAAAAAAUAGAACUUUUUUUUAAAUCUUUAAAUAUUUGUAGAAUAUGCUUUGCAUCUACCUGAAAAUUACAGGAAAUGUAUGUCACAUCAUUAUUUAUUCAGAAUUCUUGAAGCAUUUGCAAUGUGGUGUGUUUAUGUGUUGGUGAUAACUUUCGCAUAUAUAAAUGCUUAUUUUGUACUUUUUUAAUAAAAAUAUUUCAUAUCA